CCUACGGGUGGCAGCAGUGGGGGAUAUUGCACAAUGGGGGAAACCCUGAUGCAGCAACGCCGCGUGAGUGAAGAAGUGCUUCGGUGUGUAAAGCUCUAUCAGCAGGGAAGAAAAUGACGGUACCUGAUGAAGAAGCCCCGGCUAACUACGUGCCAGCAGCCGCGGUAAUACGUAGGGGGCAAGCGUUAUCCGGAUUUACUGGGUGUAAAGGGGGCGUAGACGGCGAUGCAAGCCUGAAGUGAAAGCCCGGGGCUCAACCCCGGGACUGCUUUGGAAACUGUAUGGCUAGAGUGCUGGAGAGGCAGGCGGAAUUCCUAGUGUAGCGGUGAAAUGCGUAGAUAUUAGGAAGAACACCAGUGGCGAAGGCGGCUUGCUGGACAGCAACUGACGUUGAGGCUCGAAAGCGUGGGGAGCAAACAGGAUUAGAUACCCGUGUAGUC
rnacentral:rRNA from 1 species